ACUAUUAACUGACUGCGUUUGGAAG
rnacentral:piRNA from 1 species